GGGCCCGCACAAGCGGUGGAGCAUGUGGUUUAAUUCGAUGAUACGCGAGGAACCUUACCAGGGCUUAAAUGUAAGUGACCGCUCCUGAAAGGGAGCUUUCCUUCGGGACACGAAGCAAGGUGCUGCAUGGUUGUCGUCAGCUCGUGCCGUGAGGUGUUAGGUUAAGUCCUGCAACGAGCGCAACCCCUAUUCUUAGUUGCCAGCGGUUCGGCCGGGGACUCUAAGAAGACUGCCAGCGCAAGCUGAGAGGAAGGUGGGGAUGACGUCAAAUCAUCACGGCCCUUACGUCCUGGGCUACACACGUGCUACAAUGGUAGAGACAGAGGGCAGCCACCUGGUGACAGGGAGCGAAUCCUUAAACUCUAUCUCAGUUCGGAUUGGAGUCUGCAACUCGACUCUAUG
rnacentral:rRNA from 1 species